GUGCCGCCGCCGCGGUAAUACGGAGGGUGCAAGCGUUGUCCGGAAUCACUGGGCGUAAAGGGUGCGCAGGCGGGGCAGCAAGUCGGAGGUGAAAGCCCAUGGCUCAACCAUGGAAGUGCCUUCGAAACUGUUGCUCUUGAGUCCCGGAGAGGCUGUCGGAAUUCGUGGUGUAGCGGUGAAAUGCGUAGAUAUCACGAGGAACACCAGAGGCGAAAGCGGACAGCUGGACGGGUACUGACGCUCAGGCACGAAAGCGUGGGGAGCAAACAGGAUUAGAACCCGGGAUCC
rnacentral:rRNA from 1 species